UGGGGAAUAUUGCACAAUGGGCGCAAGCCUGAUGCAGCAACGCCGCGUGAACGAUGAAGGUCUUCGGAUCGUAAAGUUCUGUUGCAGGGGAAGAUAAUGACGGUACCCUGUGAGGAAGCCCCGGCUAACUACGUGCCAGCAGCCGCGGUAAUACGUAGGGGGCUAGCGUUAUCCGGAUUUACUGGGCGUAAAGGGUGCGUAGGUGGUCUUUCAAGUCGGUGGUUAAAGGCUACGGCUCAACCGUAGUUAGCCUCCGAAACUGGAAGACUUGAGUGCAGGAGAGGAAAGUGGAAUUCCCAGUGUAGCGGUGAAAUGCGUAGAUAUUGGGAGGAACACCAGUAGCGAAGGCGGCUUUCUGGACUGCAUCUGACACUGAGGCACGAAAGCGUGGGUAGCAAACAGG
rnacentral:rRNA from 1 species